GGGGGGGGGGGGGGGGGGGGGGGGGGGGGGGGGGGCGGGCGGGCGGGGGGGGGGCUGGGGCGGCUGGCGGUAGCGGGGGGGGGGGGAGUAGCGCGUGGAGAGCGGGCCUGUGAGCGUGGGCGCACUUCGGGAGCCCGGGGCUCGUGCCGGGUGACAGAUUGAACCGGCUGGUGCGAUCGUGACAGACGGGUGUGCUGUGACUUCUCGAUGGAUCUGAGCCGCCGUAGCUAGGUGGUAAGGUAACGGCUUAACAAGGCAACGAUGCGUAGCCGACCUUAGAGGGUGGUUGGACACACUGGAACUGAGCCACGGUACAGACUACUAAGGGAGGCAGCAGUAGGGAAUCUUCCGCAAUGGGCGAAAGCCUGACGGAGCAACGCCGAGUGAGUGAGGAAGGUCUUCGGAUCGUAAAACUCUGUUAUUAGGGAAGAACAAAUGUGUAAGUAACUAUGCACGUCUUGACGGUACCUAAUCAGAAAGCCACGGCUAACUACGUG
rnacentral:rRNA from 1 species